rnacentral:rRNA from 1 species
UGGGGAAUAUUGCACAAUGGGCGCAAGCCUGAUGCAGCAACGCCGCGUGAGGGACGACGGCCUUCGGGUUGUAAACCUCUUUUAGUAGGGAAGAAGCGAAAGUGACGGUACCUGCAGAAAAAGCACCGGCUAACUACGUGCCAGCAGCCGCGGUAAUACGUAGGGUGCGAGCGUUGUCCGGAAUUAUUGGGCGUAAAGAGCUCGUAGGCGGUCUGUCGCGUCUGCUGUGAAAACCCGAGGCUCAACCUCGGGCCUGCAGUGGGUACGGGCAGACUAGAGUGCGGUAGGGGAGAAUGGAAUUCCUGGUGUAGCGGUGGAAUGCGCAGAUAUCAGGAGGAACACCGAUGGCGAAGGCAGUUCUCUGGGCCGUAACUGACGCUGAGGAGCGAAAGCGUGGGGAGCGAACAGGAUUAGAUACCCUGGUAGUCCACGCCGUAAACGUUGGGCGCUAGAUGUGGGGACCAUUCCACGGUUUCCGUGUCGCAGCUAACGCAUUAAGCGCCCCGCCUGGGGCAGUACGGCCGCAAGGCUAAAACU